rnacentral:lncRNA from 1 species
CACACACACACGCGCGCACACACACACACACACACGCACACACCUUGUGAUGAUAUAAUUAGAGGGGACAAGCCAUGUGAAGGAUGGUUUGGAGAAAGAAUGUGCCCCAAGUUAAGUACAGGUGAGCCAUUGGUGUAGUCAGAAGGGUGUAGGUAGUAGGGGGUAACUUAAGGUAAGGAUAGAAUGGAAGGGGCGGGGGCAGACUGAGGGGCCUCGGAUGCUGCACACAGAGGUUGGAGUUCUUGCAUUGACUCCAUUCCUUUGUCUGUCUGUGCACCAGGUACCCUGCUGAGUGCUAGGUUGCAAAGGUGAGUUGACCUUUCUUCAGCUUCUGUGUUCAUUCUUUGUAGAGGCUCUCACAACAUAAUAGGCUAUGUAGUGCCCCCUUAGAAUUCAUAUGUUGAAAUCCUAUAUCCCAGUGGAAGCCUAUUUGGAGGCAGGGUCUUGAAGAGGCAGUUCAAUUCAAAUGGACUUAAAGGGCCGUCCAGGUGGGCUCUGUCCAUUGGGUGUGGGCGUGAUGUUGGGAAGAUGAGGCGAAAACGUAAGGAGCCAGCAACCAUGCACACACUGGAGAGAGGCCUGAGGAGAAACCAACUCUGGUCUCCAGAGUGGUGAGAAAAGUAGAUUUCUGUUGUUUCCAGUACUCUCCCACCCUGCACCAUGGCACUUUCUGACAGCGGGGAGCUCCUAGCUCCUCCAGCGUCUCAGCUCCUGGAAAGCCACACAGCUGUUCUCCUAUGGGGUUCAGGGCUCCCCAGUAGGCCAGUGCAUGGGAGCAUGUGCAGUAUUGACAGGCAGCUCUAGUUCUGCGGCUUCAUUCUCCAUCUCUGAUCGCCAUUUGUUCCCCCUUGAAGCUGCAUGCCAGCAUUUCCAUUUCCCUCGGAAACUCCAUUAGAGUCCAAGAUGAAACUCAAGUGUUUAUCCUCCAGCCUUCUCUGAUGGGGACCUCAGCUUGCACUUACGCUCAGCAGAGUAGCUGAGCACCCUGCUUGGGCAGGGCAGCUUUGAGGAAGGCUGACUUUGGCACGAAUUGGACUGUGUGCAGGAGACGCCAAGGUUGGAGGCCACGUCUGCCUGCUCAGGAGACUGUCCGUGGCAGCCUGGCAUCUGAGCAAGCUUAAUGGAAUCUUUUCACAGUGAAUCUGUUGGAGAGGGAUUGGCUCCCUCUGGCCUGUUGAUUUGGGUUUGAUUUACAUGGAAAUUUUUCAAAGAAGGAGAACACAUGUGAGGUCUUUCAAAGAACUUUAAAAAAAAUCAUUUCACAUUCCAGCAGAUUUGUUUUCAAAUCUGGGUUUUCAGCUGGGUAGGGUAAGUAGAGUCUGCAAGAUGAUGAGAGGUAGUCAUUCAAUUCUUUCUGGUUCUGACUGCCGGGACACCCAGCAUCUGGAGAUUUAAAACCCAGGGUGAGGUAUUCUUUUUCAUUACCGUGUCUCCAAGGUCAAGGACACACGUCUGAUGUUAGUGCCUGCUGUGUUCCAGGUGAGAUCACUACCACAAGGAGUGUGGCUUCCAGCUCUGUAUUUUCACAUAUUGCUGUUAUGUAAGAAGAAUGAGACUGUCAUUGCCGUACAGUGAAAUUUCGAAUCACCGGCUUCAAGUUAUGAAAGAUCCUAUUUUGGCUUGUGCCUUUGUGCAGCCUGGUCUGCUUAGCUAAUUUUAUGGCUCAUGGGGAAUAGAUGACCUUGAAUUCCUGCAGCACCUGUAGUCAAAAAUAGUUCUUAUUGUGGGUUCCAUAGAAGAGGGCGCACUUGGAGGAGUUGGAAAGGUCGUGAAAGCAACACAUUGUUGUCUUGGUCGUAAACCAGUAUGCUACACUCUCCCUCGGUAUAAAGACUAGGAAACUUUGCCCCCCUCCCCCAUUUCUCUGUCUCUGUCUCUGUCUCUGUCUCUCCCUCCCUCUCUUUCUCUCUCUGUCUCCCAGAUUUUGUUAGAAUUCUUAUUUGAUUUGUGUGUGUGUUGGUGUGCAUGUGUAUAUAUACACCUGUGUGUGUGUGGAUAUAGAUAUGUUUUGUGUGUGUGUGUACUCACCUGUGUGUAGAUGUGCAUGUAUGUUUGUGUGCAUGUGUGUGUGUGCAUGUGUGUAUGAUAGGCACAUGUCCUUUAUGGAGUUGGUUUCUCCUAUCUUCAUGUGGGUUACAGUUAAUCAAACAUAGGUCAGUGGGCUUAUGCAGUAAGGAUUUUAACUGCCGAGCCAUCUUGUCCCCCCUCCCCCCUCAUUUCUGAUAGAGGAAGGAGGACUAAGAGUUUAUCACUAGGGUAAAAGAUGAAGAUGUUUGGCUGAG